AAGAGGAACGGCACGUCUGUUAUUUACGUCCGGGCAGAAACGGUUCCCCCAGAUCCUAGGAUCCUCCAAGGCUCGAAGGAUCGCUAAGGACUUUCUUUUUAGCAAGUUAUUUGCUCAAUGGUUCCAUCUCAGGGAGGUCCUAGGUGUGCUUGGGAAUAAGCCAUUAUCUGAAGACUGCACCUCCACAGUGCACUCUUCAGGAAAUGAAGACUGCCAAGCCUUCAAGCAAGUCUCCCCAGAUGAUCCAAUCCUUUCUUCCCAUCUAUCCAUCUCCUCAACCCCUUCCUUCAAUAAAUCUUUCAUUUUAUA